CAUGUAGGCGGAUUAAUAAGUUUGAAGUGAAAUCCUAUAGCUUAACUAUAGAACUGCUUUGAAAACUGUUAAUCUAGAACGUGGGAGAGGUAGAUGGAAUUCCCGGUGUAGCGGUGGAAUGCGUAGAUAUCGGGAGGAACACCAGUGGCGAAGGCGGUCUACUGGGCACCAACUGACGCUGAGGCUCGAAAGCAUGGGUAGCAAACA
rnacentral:rRNA from 1 species